rnacentral:rRNA from 1 species
CGUACACUCCUACGGGAGGCAGCAGUGGGGAAUAUUGGACAAUGGGCGCAAGCCUGAUCCAGCCAUGCCGCGUGAGUGAUGAAGGCCCUAGGGUUGUAAAGCUCUUUCACCGGUGAAGAUAAUGACGGUAACCGGAGAAGAAGCCCCGGCUAACUUCGUGCCAGCAGCCGCGGUAAUACGAAGGGGGCUAGCGUUGGUCGGAUUUACUGGGCGUAAAGCGCACGUAGGCGGACUAUUAAGUCAGGGGUGAAAUCCCGGGGCUCAACCCCGGAACUGCCUUUGAUACUGGUAGUCUUGAGGUCGAGAGAGGUGAGUGGAAUUCCGAGUGUAGAGGUGAAAUUCGUAGAUAUUCGGAGGAACACCAGUGGCGAAGGCGGCUCACUGGCUCGAUACUGACGCUGAGGUGCGAAAGCGUGGGGAGCAAACAGGAUUAGAAACCCGAGUAGUCCCAUGA